CGGCGGACGGCUGAGUAACACGUAGGAACGUACCCCAAACUGAGGGAUAAGCACCAGAAAUGGUGUCUAAUACCGCAUGUGCUCUUCGGAGUAAAGCUUCGGCGGUUUGGGAACGGCCUGCGCAUGAUUAGCUUGUUGGUGAGGUAAUGGCUCACCAAGGCGACGAUCAUUAGUUGGUCUGAGGGGAUGAUCAGCCAUACUGGGACUGAGACACGGCCCAG
rnacentral:rRNA from 1 species